UCCCAGGCACUCCCAAUAGUACUCUUAGUCACUUUAAUCACCUCUCAAGUCACACUACUUCUCUCCCACUCUUACCCCAAGUUUCCCUAAUGACCCCACUCACACCCCCAGACCUCCCCAGGUAUCUCAAUGUCACCCCCAUUCACACCCUAGAGCCCCUCACAGACAUUCUCCACAUCACCCUCCUGACAUCCCCCAGAGCACACACACAGAUGUACACACAAGAAAAUUUCCAAAUACUCUAAAACCAAAGUACCUAAAAGACGUAAUCACACUCGGUUUAAAAUUGAUAUUUAUCCAAUUUGCAUUUCAGUAUGACAAGAGUUUCGGCUCCUUCUGAGAAUUACGCUUCUCCCUUUCAGCCCUUUCCUACUUUGCCUACUUUUGAGCAGUGCAAGACUAUUUCAGCCAAAUGAGCUAAGACUCCAUUUGCUUUGUUUCUGGCAAACUGCACAUAUUACAAAAUAGCAAUAGUGCUCUCAGGAUCAAUCACAUAAUCCUGGUUGAGAGUUUUUCAUGACAUACCCUGCCCUCUAGGGCCACAGAGGUAGUCAUGUGACUCUGGCUGAGCCAAUCACAGUGCCCCAUGACCCAGACAGUGGUGAUUGGCUCAAACAUGGGCACAUGACCAAAGCCAACCAAUCAAGCUCUUCCCGGGGACUUUUUCUAACUGAAGCUGUCAGGGACCAGCUCUUUCUUCUCUGAUCAAAAGGAUUAUGAGCUUGGAGCUGCCUGAGCCUUGGACCCAAGCUCCUAGGUGACAGGAGAACUGAGAGUAAAACUAAGAAGAAAAAGCAGACAAGAGGAGGAGAGAAAGAGAGUUGAGAUGACACUCAAGUCCCUGGCUCUUGUCAUCCCAGAGACAAGCCCACUCCGUAGUUUGGUCAGAAGGGACGGCCGUUUGCAGCUUACCUCCGCACCAUGCAUUUCGCCUUCCUGCCGUUCCUCACUUGGAGUCCCAGUUAUAAGACAGUCAGUACGUUGCAUUGCUCUAGUCACCAUGCUUGGUUUGGGGGUAGGUACCUUGUGAGCCAGUCACACAGGACUUUUGCAGGAAAUUUCUGCACUAUUUUUCCUGCCAGACCUGAGGUCUGAGUUGUUAGCAGUUCUGCCAGUCAUUCUUCUGUCUGCUUUCAGGUUCAUUCCCCACCCUUCUCUGUUCUACAUUACAAGGACUACAUUUCCCAGCCUCCUUUGCUCACUGACUUAUCUCUGUUUGGCUCAUGGGAGGCACUGGCAAAAGACUGGCUCUAGGGGGAUGGGACAAGCCAGGGUAGUUAUCCUCCUCUCUCUCUGCCUCAGUUGGUGUCUUCAGCCAUCGAUGCAUUUCUUGGGUGAUUGUAGCCACCUCUAAGCAAAUCUCAGCAUGAGUCUGUGCCUUCCAGAUGGCUCCAACUUCCAGGCUCCAGUAAUACUACUUCUUCCCUUUGUUCUUCUGGCGUAGGGGCCUGGCAGCUUGCUGAGUUGCUAAUCCCUGAUUUGCCUCACCAUUCCUACUCGGCUUCUCAGCUCUUCUGUUACCCAUGAAACCAAUUCCCUAUAUUUACUUCCCUCUGAAGCCCCUAGAAUGAUUGUUUUUUCCUGACUGGAUCCUGCCUUGCCACUACAUGGAGCCUUGAGAAUGAAGCCCACUCGACACCUUUGAACACCAGUCCUACGUUUGGGGAAUUUCCCAAUGUUUGUAUCCACACUUCCCGGCAAGGAAACCAGCCUCUUACUGCUAGGACCUCAGCAUGCGACCAGGUUCCACCAAUGAAAUACAGCCACGCUAAACUUGGAGUCAGCAGCCGGGAGAAAUAGCCGUGAAAUCUGUUCUAGUCGGGGUGGCUGCAACUACCUCCAGGGUCCUGGGGCAGCAGAGAAAGAGGUUCCCCAGGGGAGUCCAGGCCUGGAGAGACUGGGUUCCACACGUCAAGCUCCAGUGUGUGUGACCAGUCAGCCAGUCCUGAUCACUCAGUCCCUGGAGCCCAGUUCCCUGGCCUCACAGAGAGUCUAUAAGCGCCGCAGUAUCCUGGGAAAAAAAUGGGACCCGGGAGCUGCUGAGAGCCCCACUGCCACUGUGUGAGCACAGCUUGCCUGAGGGCCCAACACAAAGGAAUCCUUCAAGGAGAGAUGGCAAGAGACAGGUACCUUUUGAGCACCUGCAUCCCGAAGCAGGGACAAUUUAUGCCUGCAGACUUUUCCAAAACUCGAAACCAGCUUGAGUUUGAGAGGCAUGAGAGAAAGAGAUACUCAGAAUAAAUAAAUAAG